CACAGUGAAACCGUGUGUCUACUUAAA
rnacentral:piRNA from 1 species